rnacentral:rRNA from 1 species
GACGAACGCUGGCGGCGUGCCUAAUACAUGCAAGUCGAGCGCAGGAAACUGACGGAACUCUUCGGAGGGAAGGCAGUGGAAUGAGCGGCGGACGGGUGAGUAACACGUAAGGAACCUGCCUCAAGGAUUGGGAUAACUCCGAGAAAUCGGAGCUAAUACCGGAUAGUUCAACGGACCGCAUGGUCCGCUGAUGAAAGGCGCUCCGGCGUCACCUUGAGAUGGCCUUGCGGUGCAUUAGCUAGUUGGUGGGGUAACGGCCCACCAAGGCGACGAUGCAUAGCCGACCUGAGAGGGUGAUCGGCCACACUGGGACUGAGACACGGCCCAGACUCCUACGGGAGGCAGCAGUAGGGAAUCUUCCACGAUGGACGAAAGUCUGAUGGAGCAACGCCGCGUGAGUGAUGAAGGUUUUCGGAUCGUAAAACUCUGUUGUAAGGGAAGAACACGUACGAGAGGGAAUGCUCGUACCUUGACGGUACCUUACGAGAAAGCCACGGCUAACUACGUGCCAGCCGCCGCAGUAACAC